rnacentral:rRNA from 1 species
GAUAGAGAGCGGCGAGGAGCGGUGGAAAGAUGUAGGGUUGUAGCGGUAGUCGGAUGGACAGGGGGUAAAGGGAGCGGAGGCGGGGCUGCAAGUUGGAUGUGAAAUGACGUGGCGUAACCAGGGAACGGCAUCUAAAACUGUAGUUCUUGAGUGAAGUAGAGGCAAGCGGAAUUCCGAGUGUAGCGGUGAAAUGCGUAGAUAUUCGGAGGAACACCAGUGGCGAAGGCGGCUUGCUGGGCUUUAACUGACGCUGAGGCUCGAAAGUGUGGGGAGCAAACAGGAUUAGAUACCCUUGUAGUC